GGGCGGUUAGCUCAGCUGGUAGAGCGUCUGGCCUACAACCAGAAGGUCGGAGGAUCGUGCCCUCCACCGCCCA
rnacentral:tRNA from 1 species